rnacentral:lncRNA from 1 species
AGGUAUUUGAAAGUGAGCUGAGCAAAACAUUUGACGCUGCUAAUACAGAGUAAACCACAGCUUCAGCUGUGUUAUUCUCACAAAUAAAACGUUUCUGGAAUUGAAAGGGCCGAGUGGCGUUUCCGGCAAAGAAAUCCAUUAAAAGCACAAAAGGGCAACUUCCGAUGUCAGUGCGCACGCUCCAGCUGAAGGACAGCGCAGAUCUUCAAGCAGUCUGUGAAAACAGGAAUGAAGAGCAGCGGAGGACGUUGGAGAGGAAACAGAUACAUUUCAAAUGCACUUGUCAGGUGUGCCCUGAGAUGGUAUGAAAGUCUACCACAGCUCUGAACCGCAACCUCAGCAUCUCAAAAGAAGACUGAAUCAAUCAAGUUUGUCAGCUUUUCACGUGAGUGGGCAGGUUUGCAGGUGUAUCUGGGGAUGCUUCUGGAGUUACGAUGCGUGAACAGUUACACCAUAGAUGAAGAGAUCUUGGGCAAAAUGGAUCUGGAAAAGCUGCCUCUCGUCAGGACGGCACGAGAUAGAGGGGCCAGAAUCCCACGCCUGCUUUGCGGAACCUCAAUUCGAACAACUGCAACGUUCUCUGGCUUCCGACCUUCGCUGUGUCUUCACGACUACGUCCCUCAUCUCUCCCAUGAAACCCCGAUCGUUCAUCGCCUGACCCACGCCUGUCCUCGACCACUGUUUUUCACCUGCUCCUUUCGUUUUGCUGAUGAUAAAAGAACCUGCGACUGGGUCCUGCUCACCAAUGCCCCAGCAUCACACAUGUGUUCUAGUUGUCUGACUCUUUCUGGGGUGACUGUACUUGUACAAUAAAGCAAAGUUUCCAGCUGAAAGAGUCACUUAGAAUGUCAACAUAAUCAUAAUUAGGAGGAUUUCUUUG